GAUGAACGCUGGCGGCGUGCCUAAUACAUGCAAGUAGAACGCUGAAGGAAGGAGCUUGCUCUUUCCGGAUGAGUUGCGAACGGGUGAGUAACGCGUAGGUAACCUGCCUGGUAGCGGGGGAUAACUAUUGGAAACGAUAGCUAAUACCGCAUAACAGUAGAUAUUGCAUGAUAUCUGCUUGAAAGGGGCAAUUGCUCCACUACCAGAUGGACCUGCGUUGUAUUAGCUAGUUGGUGAGGUAACGGCUCACCAAGGCGACGAUACAUAGCCGACCUGAGAGGGUGAACGGCCACACUGGGACUGAGACACGGCCCAGAAUCCUACGGGAGGCAGCAGUAGGGAAUCUUCGGCAAUGGACGGAAGUCUGACCGAGCAACGCCGCGUGAGUGAAGAAGGUUUUCGGAUCGUAAAGCUCUGUUGUAAGAGAAGAACGAGUGUGAGAGUGGAAAGUUCACACUGUGACGGUAUCUUACCAGAAAGGGACGGCUAACUACGUG
rnacentral:rRNA from 1 species